rnacentral:rRNA from 1 species
GAGUUUGAUCCUGGCUCAGAAUCAACGCUGGCGGCGUGCCUAACACAUGCAGGUCGCACGAGAAAGUGGAGCAAUCCAUGAGUAAAGUGGCGCACGGGUGAGUAACACGUGAAUGAUCUACCUCCGAGUGGGGAAUAACUGAGAGAAAUCUUAGCUAAUACCGCAUAAUACCCACGGGUCAAAGCAGCAAUGCGCUUGGAGAGGAGUUCGCGGCCGAUUAGUUAGUUGGCGGGGUAAUGGCCCACCAAGACGAUGAUCGGUAUCCGGCCUGAGAGGGCGCACGGACACACUGGAACUGAAACACGGUCCAGACUCCUACGGGAGGCAGCAGUGGGGAAUUUUGCGCAAUGGGGGAAACCCUGACGCAGCAACGCCGCGUGGAGGAUGAAGCCCCCUUGGGGUGUAAACUCCUUUCGAUCGGGAAGAUAAUGACGGUACCGAUAUAAGAAGCCCCGGCUAACUUCGUGCCAGCAGCCGCCGUAAG